GCCACCCUAGCUCAGUUGGUAGAGCAGCUGAUUCGUAAUCAGCAGGUCGUCGGUUCGAAUCCGAUGGGUGGCU
rnacentral:tRNA from 2 species